rnacentral:rRNA from 1 species
CAGCCGCCGCGGGAAUACAGAGGGUGCAAGCGUUAAUCGGAAUUACUGGGCGUAAAGCGCGCGUAGGUGGUUUGUUAAGUUGGAUGUGAAAUCCCCGGGCUCAACCUGGGAACUGCAGUGGAUACUGGGUCACUAGAGUGUGGUAGAGGAUAGUGGAAUUUCCGGUGUAGCAGUGAAAUGCGUAGAGAUCGGAAGGAACAUCUGUGGCGAAGGCGACUAUCUGGGCCAACACUGACACUGAGGCACGAAAGCGUGGGGAGCAAACAGGAUUAGAUACCCCUGUAGUCCCUGUCUCUUAUAC